GACCUCAGGUCAGGCGGGACUACCCGCUGAGUUUAAGC
rnacentral:rRNA from 1 species